GACGAACGCUGGCGGCGUGCUUAACACAUGCGAGUCGAACGGAAAGGCCCUGCUUUUGUGGGGUGCUCGAGUGGCGAACGGGUGAGUAACACGUGAGUAACCUGCCCUUGACUUUGGGAUAACUUCAGGAAACUGGGGCUAAUACCGGAUAGGAGCUCCUGCUGCAUGGUGGGGGUUGGAAAGUUUCGGCGGUUGGGGAUGGACUCGCGGCUUAUCAGCUUGUUGGUGGGGUAGUGGCUUACCAAGGCUUUGACGGGUAGCCGGCCUGAGAGGGUGACCGGCCACAUUGGGCCUGAGAUACGGCCCAGACUCCUACGGGAGGCAGCAGUGGGGAAUAUUGCACAAUGGGCGGAAGCCUGAUGCAGCAACGCCGCGUGCGGGAUGACGGCCUUCGGGUUGUAAACCGCUUUCGCCUGUGACGAAGCGUGAGUGACGGUAAUGGGUAAAGAAGCACCGGCUAACUACGUG
rnacentral:rRNA from 1 species